rnacentral:rRNA from 1 species
UACGUAAGUCCCAAGCGUUACCCGGAAUUAUUGGGUGUAAAGGGUUCGUAGGUGGACCUAUAAGUCAGGUAUGAAAGACCGGAGCUCAACUCCGUGUUUGUGCUUGAAACUGUAGGUCUAGAAUCAGGGAGAGGUUAGCGGAAUUCUUAGUGUAGGGGUGCAAUCCGUAGAUACUAAGAAGAAAACCAAAAGCGAAGGCAGCUAACUGGAACUGUAUUGACACUGAGGAACGAAAGCGUGGGGAGCGAAGAGG